AUGUGGAUACUCAGCCUUUGGAUUGCAUGGGGAGCAAUUCUAGCAGAUCUAACUGAUGGAGAUUCCGUCACUCAGCCAGUAUCCUCUGAUGUUCAGACAGAAGGAGAAAAAGUGGCUCUCAACUGUAGCUAUGAUACUACAAGGAGUAUGUAUUUAUUAGCCUGGUACCGUCAGCACCCAGACACAGAGCCCGUAUCCAUUCUGGGAAAAGAUACUGAUGAUGAGGAGGAUAAUGCAGAUUUUGCUAAAGAUCGCUUCUCAACCGAACUUCAGACCUCAAAGAAAUUCACCAGUCUCACUAUCACUGGGCUAAGGUUGUCUGAUACAGCCAUAUAUUAUUGCGCUUUCAGUGACGACACAGUGAUACAUAAUAGUCUCACUCCUGUACAAUAA